UCGAGGUCAGACCUCACGUGGAACCCGCAUCAAUAUGAUGAACGGCCGGCCGGGCCAUGAGCCCUUAAGAUUCUUGCCGGAUGAGGCCCGGAGACUGCCCCCGCCCAAGCUGAACGACCCGCGGCUUGUCUACAUCGGCUUCCUGGGCUACUGCACGGGCCUGAUGGACAACAUGAUGCGAAUGAGACCUGUGAUGAAAGCAGGUGAGGGCUGCGAGGCCGUCCUACCCGGAGGAGGAGCUACAGGGUUGUCUACUAAGGUCAGCCUCCCGGAUCCGUGCUUUUCCCGGGCCUAGCUGGGAGCGCCUGGCUUUCCCAGGUCGUGCACCCCGUCUAGAGUUUUCAGCGCGAGCCACAUUAAAGAAACCCAAGUGCGCCGCAACUGGGAAUUCUAAACCUCCCAGUUAGUCCGUAAAGGACUCAAGAGGGGCUCCUCACAGUUCGCGCAGUACUUCCUGCUAAACGGUUGUGCGCUCCAUUUCUCGCCCAGCUGUCACCCUUAAGAGCAUGAUAGCAGUAGGAUUUAAAAAAAAAAAAAAAAAAAGACGUGAG
rnacentral:lncRNA from 1 species